rnacentral:lncRNA from 1 species
CAGGGGCCAAGACCUGAGCGCCAAGCUCCUCGUCCUGGUGGCGUCGGCGGGGGUCCUGGAGGCGUCGGCGGCGGUCCCGGUGGUGUCGGCGUUGGUGCUGGUGGUGGUUACGGCGGCGGCGGUGCUGGCGGCGGUUACGGCGGCGGUGGUGCUGCCGGUGGUUACGGCGGCGGUGGUGCUGCCGGUGGCUUCGGCGCCGGUGCUCCAGCUCCCAACAUUGUUGGCGGCUGGCCCCAGAAUUAGCUUCCUAAAGUGCUCUGCUUUUGAUCAGUCUAUCGUAAUAUCUAGCAUGAUGCCAGUAUGUUCUGUCUAUGCUUCCAUGGCCGUAUGGUUUCUUAUUCGUCGCACUUUGACCGCCUAGAGAGAACCAUGUGUUGCUCUUUUAGUAUUUUCCUGGUAAACACUCAUGACUCCAGGUACUGGAUGAGUUCUACUACGUUGAAGGAGCUGUUAAGAGCACAAAUGUUGAUCUUUAUGUAGGAGAUCUACGUAUUUUUGGGCAUCGGGUUUGAACAUGGCUAUCUACUAUCUAUAAAUAUGUGUUUUCACUCGUCAUGCACCAUUUGCUUUUGUUGGUUGUGUCCAUGAAUGAGGGACGGUUAGUUUAUUUCAGAACUGCUGUUUCAGUUACCAUCAACUGCAACUUAGAUUCUAGUUUGGUGCUAUGUCAGUUUGUCUGCUCAUCACCCGGUGCAAUAUGUCUUAACUCAAAGGAAUUGUGGUGCGCCUGCUGUGGGUGGUAGCUUGUCUGCCGUAUGCUCAUUUUGACGCUGAGAUUGCCGCAUCCUUUUAGAGGAUAAGCCAACUAAUAAUUUUCACACUUGAAUACAUGAAAAUAAAAUCUGUUAUGGAUCCCUUUGCAUGUCCAUGCAGCUUCUGUUAGAAUCUGUAUUAGUGGAGUACGGUGGCAUUUAAAGCUUCACAAGUUUCUCUCCCACAAAAAAGACUACUAUUAAAUUCCAUAGCCAAAGUUACAUCAUACUAGACCCGAUUGGUGAUAUUUUUACAUAUUUGAAUUACACGUGGCAAGACCUUUAAGACAAGAAGUAUAUUGGAUGCAUUCCGACUAAUUUAUUUUACCGACUUCAAAUAACAUCUUUCACUCAAUUAAAAAAAGAUUUUUCCCAUAUCAAAAAAAUAUUUCACUCAAUUCGAAAUAAAAAUAAAAUCAUUUUAAAAACCACUCCUCUGAAACAAAUGAUUUAUCAUUCGAAUAAAAAAAUAUCACGCACUUACUAAAACUGAUUUUACUCUUUUUAAAAUUGGUUUUGCUAAUUAAAAACCGAUUUCACACAUUUUAAAUGACUCAUAAUAUUAGAAACAAUUUUUUACAUUAGAAACUAUUUAUAUAUUUUAAUUCAUGGCGAUAAGUCCCGUAAAACAAGACUGAUCUUGGAUGUAUUUUGAAUAGUUUGAAUUUUCUGUAUUUUCUUAUGUUAAUUCAAUUAAAUUUCACAAAAAACUAGCUUCACACAGUGAAACAAUCAAUUUAACAUAUUUCAAUAAAAUUAUUUCACCCAACUGUAUAAAACUAUUUCACUCAUUUUGAAAUGAUGAUUUAAAAAAAUCACGCAUUCCAAUUUAAACUAAUUUAACUAAAAAAGACAACAUUUCACUCAUUUCUAAAAAAUCAAAUAAUUCUGAAAAUAGAAUUGAUUUAUUUCUAAAGAAGGAUGUCACAAGAAGCGUUCAAUUUUACAGCAUGCAUUUCAAAAAUCAUGUUAAAUUGAACACACAUCGGAGUCACAAAUAGGCUAAAAACUACUUCAUAUAAUUGGAAAAUGUCAAUUUCAUUUGUUUGAAGCCACUAAUUUAACACUUUAACACAAUUAAUUUCACAUAUUUGAAAUAAACUAUUCCCCAUAUAUUUUUUAAACAAUUUUUUGGAAUGAAUGAAAUAUGCUUUUAUGUGUAAAAAAAAUACAUGUUUCACAGUUUUAUGAUUUCGCUCGUAAAUAUGGUCCAAUUGUGGUACUCUUUUGCAAUUAACUCAAAAACACUCAAUUCAAAAAAUGGAUAUGACCUAUUUAAAAAAGUGAUUUCAUUCAUCUCAACAUUCAUUAAAAAAACCGAUUUCACUCCUUUAAAAACUUGAUUUCGCUCAUUUUGAAACACCGAUUUUACUCAUUCAAACAAGAAUUUCACUCAUUAAAAACCUAAUUCCGCUCAUUUCAAAAAGUGGAUUUCACUCAUUUCAAGUAACAACUUUCACUGAAGCAUAUGUUGAUUAAAACAGUGAGAUUGAAGAAAUUGAUUUUACUCACUAAAAUAGUUGAGUGAAAGAAGUGGAUUGAAACAAUGAAAUUUAAAUGUGUUUGACAAUUUCCAGGAUUGAUCUUAUUCCAAAGGUCCUGGCAUGAGGAGUUCAAAUAUAUACAUAACUCAAAAAGAACAUUGCAGUUAAAAAGAUACGAAUGAUUGAAAUUGUCAAAAUGGGCACAUGUUUGUUCUCUCCAUGCCUUCAUCUACGUGAUAGAGAUAGGAGAGAGGGUAAUGUAUAGGUCAUGUACAAGAUAGGGCACAUUGGGUGAUUGGACUUAAACAUAUACGGAAAGGUAGAUAUACAACUAAAGUGGGUCCCUAGGCGCAUGGAUAUGAAUGCAUGUGUGUAGUCGAUUUUUCUAGAAAAAAAUGUGUAAUAGAUUUCUCACAUGUAUGUACCCUUGCCACUAGAAACAGGUGUCCAGAAGUGAUGCUCAUAGGGGGCAGGAUGCCACUAAUGGGACAUGAAAACCGUUAGUACCUUCGGUAAGGUACGGUAGUUAACGCGGCCAAAAAUACUAAAGUGUAGGUCAUGCGGGAAGUUACCCUGCUUUGGGCCUCCUUGGAGGAGUAACACCCUACGUCCCGCUUCUGGUUUGUAUUUAUGGUGGACUACCUCAUGCGAUUGUUAUAAUGCGGGGAUGAUAUGUGGCUACCGAGAGUGUGUUUCUACGAGAGUAUACGUGAAUAGAUGGCCUUAGCCCCACCUUAUAUAGAUGAUGAGUGCUACAGUUCUGCACAAGAUAGAUUCAAUUUGGCCAUGCCUCCAUCUGUACAUGCGUAUAAAGGUGAUCCUUCGAUGCCUAUCUGAGCCCCACGCCUCCUUUCUAUGGUUGGACCUUGGCCAAAUUUAAUGGGCCUUGAGACAUGCAUGAUGUUGAUCUCCUCACCCAGAGGCCACUCUAUCAAUAGCCUAGAGCAUAUCUGGAGUUGGAAUGUCUUGACCUCCCCAUUAUGUCUCUUCGGCAUGUUCUUAUGAGUUCGGCUUCAGGAAGGUCUUCAAGCCUUCUUGUCGUCCAGCUUCCUCGGGGGCUCUUCGUAGAUUCAGUGCGUCCAAUGAAACCUUAAGAAUUCGGGCCACCUGCCAGGCUUUGUAUUGCGCCGAGGCCUCGGGUUUGCGGUUUCUUGAGGCCUAUUGUCUUUCGUUGCCCUAGAGUGCAAGAGCUCGAGGGCCUGAUAUGUCUCAAACAUAUUUAUAAUUUUUAUUUUUUGAUGCUAUUAUAAUACCACUUUUCAAUACUUUUUAUAUCACUUUUAUUACUUUUUCAAGACUAACCUAUUAAUUAAAUGCCAGAGCCAAUUGUCGUUUUAUGCAUGUUUUUGAAUUUUCAUAAAAUGAAUAUCUAGAGAGAUUAAAAUACCAUAAUUUUUUCAAGUAUUAAAGAUUCCACAAAGUGUCUGGAGGGGGCAGGGGGCCACCCCUGGCCUCCAUGCAGUCAGGUGGUAUGGACAUGGGACCACCCAGGUGGUCCCCUAGAACCGUGUAAGUGUAACGUUGAUUACAUCCCCCAUAAAUCCCAUAUUCCCGAAAUCCUUUUUUUUCUGCCGUCACAAGUUCAUGUUCUGGGGAGAUCCAACCUGAAGGCCUGUUUCAACACCCUAUUUGAGGGGAAAUCCAUCACCGCGGCUAUCUUCAUCAACCUUGCCGCCACCAUAAAUAUAUGUGAGUAAUUUCCUUAGGACCUUCGUGUCGGUGUCAAAACCAGAAGAACUAGGGUAAGGGGGCCGAGCUAUGAGAUCGGACAAAUGGUAACAGGAGAGGAAGAACACAAGGCUUUUACCGAGGUUCCAACCCUCUUGAUGGAGGUUAAACCCUACGUCUUUCUCUUGUUGUAUUACUAUUGUAAAGAUUACAAAGUUGAUCUACCUCGAGAUUAUGGAUUUGUGGGCUAAACCCUAGGGGUUAUAAUAUUGUGUAUGUAUAUCCUUUAUGGCCUAAACCCCAUGGUUUAUAUAGCACGCGGGGUAUCUAGGGUUACAUAAAUGUAGGUUAUCAUCUAUAGCUUACAUGCCAAACGAAUCAGCCCUACAAGCCUUAAUAGAUGCCGGAGCAUCCACACUUCGUCAUUAGGCUUCCGAGGUCCUUCUCCAUUAUGGUCCCAAGCCCGGCCCAUGGAAUAACCCACCUCGGUUGGGCAAUCUAGUUGGUUUGGCCAACUAGAUUGAUCUAUCUUCAGUGGGAAAGGUGCGUUGUAGUGGGUUAAAUAUAACCAUGCUCAAUACCUGUGACAUAAAUGGACAUGACACUCAUUGUAUUGCUACCACUAAAGAUAAAACGUUGGGAUACAUUCAUAUUAAUUGGAUUUACUUUUUCUAAAUCAUGUCAUUGUCCUCCAAUCAUUACUCUGUUUUCACUUAGUACUCUAGAUGCAUGCUGGAUAACAGUUGACGAAAGGAGUAAUAGUAGUAGAUGCAGGCAAGAGUAGAUUUAUUUGUUUACGGACGUGAUGUGUAUACAUAAUGAUCACUAUAAUGAAUUAACAUUGCAUAACUGUCACUUUUCUAUCAAUUAUCCAACAGUAAUUUGUUUACCCACCGUAUGCUUUCUACAAGACAGAAGCCUCUAGCGAAAAAUAUGACCCCUUGGUCUAUUCACAAAUAUAUUCACAAAAACUCCAAUACAUCGCUGCCUUUUAUUAUUUGCAUGUACUUUUUAUAUUUAAUAUAUGCAAGCUAUCUGUCUAUCACUACUUAUCGCUUUCAAGUAACGAGUUCAUGGGGAUUGACAACCCUCUUACCUGGGUUGGGUGUAAAUGUGUGCUUUUUUGUGUGUAGGCGUUGAAGACGGGAGAUUGUAUGGUUUUUAUAUUGGUUCGAUAACCUUGGUUCUCACCAAGGGAAACACUUAUCUAUACUCUGUCGCACCAUCCCUUCUUCUUCGAAGAAAAAUCCAAAACAGAUCACAAGUACCAGUACCCUAUCAUACACCGUGGUCCUUGUAGGAAGGACCCAUCGUUUCUUACGGUUUCAUCUCUAACUAUGGAGUAGUUUAACACUAUCUUCGGAUAGUUUAACUUGUUUGUGCUUAUCACGACGGCUGAUUUUUGGCUUUAUCCACUAAAGCGUUUAACCAUCAAGAUGGAAGCACAAUCGUUGUACUUCUCCCUUUACAUUCUUAGCUAAACAAAGUAAAAGGUAAGAUGUAAGCACAGGAGCUGGGUAACCCAAUCCUUAACCAAAGUUAUAAUUCAAAACAUGUGCAUAUAACACACUAUCCGAGGUGCCGAACCAACAUCAGACUUAAACAUGGGAUCGUUUGUAAAUCUGAGCCCCGGUCUAGAGCCGGACUCUACUUGUAUGUGGGAGGGAACCACCUCACACAAAUUAUGAGUAGAAAACAACAUGCCAUUACUCCAAGCACUUCGAAGCGGUUGACGAGUGCCAAAGCGUAAAGGCAGUGAAUACGCCUUCAAUUAUACGCAUCUGAAGCUCGGUCGCGACGUGGACCGUCGAUCCAGGAACGAACAGUUCGGAUGCCAUUUGGUCCCGCCACUGACUAUAUAAAGACGAGAGGACGGCUGGCUGGGGCAGAUCGAACCCUACAAGGACCCGCAGACUUCGGAGCUCGGAGACGCCGCCGCCGACCACGCGCCGUACAUUUCGCGCCGUCACCCGAGCGUCGCCGCCGCCGCCAUGGUAAGAGCAAGUCGCCUGCGCUUUCACCUCAACUCCGGCAUGCGAUCCAAUGCAGGUCUAAGUGUCUAACCCCUGCCGCUCGCUGCGUGUCACUGUCACAGACCUUCAAGCGCCGGAACGGCGGCCGCAGCAAGCAUGGCCGCGGCCACGUCAGGUUCGUCCGCUGCGAGAACUGCGGCAUGUCAGUCCCCAAGGUAAGUUGUUGGAUCAUGCCGCUGAAGUCUGAAACUCUCUCCUCGUGCACGAGCCGCCGCUUCAGUCCGUUGAUCAUGGCGGGGUUUCUUUCGGUGGUUCAGGACAAGGCGAUAUAGAGGUACAAGGUGCAGAACAUAUGGGCAGCGGAAAGCAUCAGGGAUUUCAAGGAGGCGUGCGUCCUUGAAGGUGCUGCUUGGGUUCCUCCUUUGAUUUCUUCUUCCCGGUUCUUACCUGUUGUGUUGGAUCCAAGGAAAAAAAUAGCGCGCUAAUAGCAUAUUUGAAAACUAAACGCUACGUUAUGCAUAUUUCACUCGCUACGGCGCUAUUAACGCUACAUACGGCAAUUUCGCGCUAUAGCGCGUAUCGGCGCUAUUUUUUUGACGCAACGCUUUUUUUUUCAGACGAAUUUUUCAUCAGCCCACUAUUCUUUUAGGCUUUUUGGCCAAGUAACCCUAACCAGUGACGACCAAACCUAUAGCAACGGCCAAACCUACCGAGCGAACCAUAAAUCCCUAACCAAACCUACCGAGCGACGGCGGUAGCGAUGGCCACCGAUGCUUCGCCCGUCUACUCCAGCCAUGGUUGACCGCCUCUUGUCGCCUCCUCCGCUCGCAGCCUCCUCUCCUCUUGCCGCCUUUUGCCACCUCCUCGGUUGUAGCUACUGAAAUCUAGCAUUUGUGUUGCUAUAUGCUGAAAUCUGAACAAUGUUUUGUGACACGCUAUUUUACAAAAUAGUGCGCUAUUAGCACGCUAUUUCGUUCAUAGCGUUUUUUUGAAGGCUGCGCUAUUUUUUUCCUUGGUUGGAUCAGACUGUUGCCUUGCAAGGCUCCAACUUAGAAAUUUUUGUAUCGCACCUAUUGUCUGAUCCUCUUGUGAGUUAGAAAUGCGUGAACUCUUGGUGGGUUUGUGGCAUAUAAUCGACAAGUUUUUUGGUUGCAGGUUACCAUCUGCCCAAGAUUUACAUCAAGGAGCGCUGGUGCAUAGGCUGCGCCAUCCAUAGGAAGGUAAUCGGCGUCCGCUCCCGUGAGGACCGCAAGAACCGCACACCACCGGAACGCUUCGGCCGCAGGGUACGUGCUCCUUGUCUUGAUUGGAAUGGUUAUAGCAUGUAUUUACCUGAUUAGAAUUAUUUCUCAGCCGGUUCGUUGUAUCUUAGGGUCCAACCUUUUGGCAAUUUACCCAUCAUCUACUUCUUGAUGAACUGCCUAGUGUUGAAUACUUGACAAGCAUGUUGUUUUAUUUUAUUGAGAAGUAACUGACAUGCCUCCAUAUCUUUGGACUGCAUGGGUGUCCCGUUUUCAACACAUAGUUCCUGUGUGGGUUGAGUUGGUCCUUAAGGUUGUGAUAUGUUUAUGUGAAGAUAGUGUUAGUGUUGUAUUUACUUUUCAUGUGUUUGCCGUGUAAUGUCUCCCUUGUAUAAGGGGUUUGUAUGCGGUGAAUUGUUCAUACUAGUGGUGUACUGGUAUUCCUUGACAGGAGUCGCUGAAUACAAGCAGUCCUUAGGAGAGAUUUAGCCGUUUGAUUUUUUUUUCUAUCAGAGUUUUCUGUCAUGGCUUGGACUGUCUGGCUAUUCGUUGUAUUUGCAUUAGAACUCUCCUUGUUAAAUUGAAACACACUGAUGGUGUCCUUGGAUGAUCCCUUAGCUAUCAUACUAGUAUAUGCGUGUAAUACUAGAACGGCCGAACUACAUUGUCAGUUGCAUAUAGUACAAUCAAAGAAUUCGUGCUUGUAAGAAGAAAUGGUUGUGCUGGAACAUCUUGUGCGAUUUCUACCAUCUGGUGUGAUGUUGUGGUGCCAUGUGGCUGAUACUGUAGUUUCAUUUUGCAGGGGCCAAGACCUGAGCGCCAAGCUCCUCGUCCUGGUGGCGUCGGCGGGGGUCCUUGACCUGGAGGCGUCAGCGGGGGUCCUGGUGGUGUCGACAGUGGCCCCGGUGGUGCUGGCGGUGGUUUCGGCGCCGGUGGUGCUGGCGGUGGCUUCGGCACCUGUGCUCCAGCUCCCAACGUCGCUGGGGGCUGGCCCCAGAAUUAGCUUCCUAGAGUGCUCUGCUUUGAUCAGUCUAUCGUAAUAUCUAGCAUGAUGCAAGUAUGUUCUGUCUAGGCUUUCAUGGCCUUAUGGUUUCUUACUCUUUGCAUUUUGACCGCCUAGAGUGAACCAUGUGUUGCUCUUUUGUUAUUUUCCUGGUAAACACUCAUGAUAUAGUGCCCCAGAUGUAAACCUUGCCAUAUUUGGAAACCUAUUGCAUGUGGG